AUAGUUACUUGGGACAACAGUUUUAGCAGGGCUCUCUUUCUCCUUUCCUGAUCUCUCUGUUAAGCUGCCUGGCUCAUUUGAUAUUACAUCCAAAUUAUCAGCUGAUUGCUCUAUUGUUUUGGACAAUGCCCUGGGGCAUACCAAAAUGUGUCUGGAAUUGGUGAGUUCUUGGUCUUACUGACUUUAAGAAUGAAGUUGCGGACUUCUGCGUAAGAAGAAAGCCCAAAGACAAAACCAGAGGCAACUGGCUGCUGCAUCACCCACCUAGUGGCAGUAGUGUGAGCUAUGGACAAAAGAUCUAAGUCUCCAGGACAAAGAGUUGUGCAGCUGCUCAUUUUCCUGUUGACUUCUGUCUAAGACUUGGAGAUGUUUGUAAGAUUGGGACCUACCUACAGAGCUCCAGAGGGAAGUGAGAAGGAUGUUCACUUGCUGGUGAGAGAAGGAGCUGGUUCCAUCCAUUAUGCAGUCCCCUGGGAGCGCUAAAUGCAACUUUAUCUCAAUGGGGAGUGGACGAUGAGCAGGACGUCGCUAGAGGGAAAGAGCCUCACUUCCCGUUUCCUUUGGCAGCGCCCUUUU
rnacentral:antisense_RNA from 1 species